AAAAUAACUUUUCCAAAAGCAGAAGCAGUUUUUAAUUUUUUUUCUUGGCAAUAAUACCCUUAGUAAAAGAAGUUAUAUACCUUAAUAACCCUACUUAAUUAAAUCCAGUAAUAAAUAUGAUAUUCUACAACUUAUUCGUUCCCAAAUGGUUCGACGGCAUUAAUACCCUUCAACCAAGCCUUGAACAUCAACAACAAUUCAUUUUUCACAAGUUUGAGAUGUACAAUUGAAAGAACUUUUGGGUCUGGAAAAACAUUAUACCAGAUCUUGAGGAAGAAGGAGGGCAUUCAGGCAUGCAUUCAGAAAUGCAAGGCACGUCUACUAAUGCUAUGAAGUUGUUGCAUGAUAAAAUUAGGGAUGAUAUCAUUACCAACUCUUCUCAUGUAUAUGUAUUUCUUCUUAUUUUAGGGUAGACUCAUAAUAUUUGAUUUU